CCUACGGGGGGCUGCAGUGGGGAAUAUUGCGCAAUGGGCGAAAGCCUGACGCAGCGACGCCGCGUGUGGGAUGAAGGUCUUCGGAUUGUAAACCACUGUCGGGAGGGACGAAGCUCUGACGGUACCUCCAAAGGAAGCACCGGCUAACUCUGUGCCAGCAGCCGCGGUAAUACAGAGGGUGCGAGCGUUGUCCGGAAUCACUGGGCGUAAAGGGCGCGUAGGCGGCUUGGUAAGUAGAGGGUGAAAUCUCACAGCUCAACUGUGAGGCUGCCUUCUAAACUGCCUGGCUUGAGCACAGUAGAGGCGAGUGGAAUUCCCGGUGUAGCGGUGGAAUGCGUAGAGAUCGGGAAGAACAUCGGUGGCGAAGGCGGCUCGCUGGGCUGUAGCUGACGCUGAGGCGCGAAAGCGUGGGGAGCAAACAGGAUUAGAUACCCGGGUAGUC
rnacentral:rRNA from 1 species